CAUGUUUGUGGUGAUGAUGGGUGAACUCAAAGAUACAGCAGCAUUUACUGUGCUUUUUGAAGUCACUAGCCUUUAUGAAUAUCAGAAGUAUCUGCAAGUGAGCAACUCUAGUCUUUAUCCCAGUUCCAUGCAGACCAUGCUGGUUCCAUUCAAGCAAAUCAGCUGAAACUCUGGCUUACUGCAAAAAGUCAGUCUAUUUGUCUUGGAAGUUUUGCUUCACAACAGUACAGUAAAAUUAAUUUCCCAGUUAUUCAUUCAGAAAUGUAGGAGAGGAGAAGAAGAAACUGUUUAGCCCCUGAGAUCCUGUCAGAUUAAAGCUAAAGAACACAGGCCAUGUUUGGGCCCCAGUAUGCAACUACUUGAUUUAGGGUAGAACUGGUAGAAUGAAUUUUUAACAUUUCAUUUUGCAAGGCUCCUUGAAAUGUGUAAAAAAUAGUAUUCUGAGGAAUCUUCAUAAUUCUGUGGAAACCCAAUGUAUUUUUUUACUCAAGAACUUCACAUGUGGGAAGAUGUUUUUUCAUUUAAUAAUUUUAUGUUUUAAAGGAACAGGUUUCUAGCUUGGAGUUUUGUUAAAAAAUAAAAUCUACCCAUGUGCACA
rnacentral:lncRNA from 1 species